ensembl:lncRNA
CGGCUUGGGACUGCCUGGCGGGGCGGGGCCGAGCGGGGCGGGACGGGAUGCUGGCUCCACUCUAGGCCGCUGGCCGCCAGUCGCCUUGCGCUCUGUGGCGCCUAGACAUUGCCUCCAGUAAUCUGGCGGUAGAGGGGAACUCGUCAGCGCUGCGAGGGGGGUGAAAGUUCAGACCCUGGGCUGGGUGACGUCAGCGAGGGGGCGGGGCGCCUCGGUGCUUCUCGGCGGAGGGGAAAGUCCGGGCUGUUUCAGUUGAGCCAAGGAAUGGGAGGCGCCCUAGCCUGCCCGCAGGCCACAGCGCUUGGAAUCCUGCCUUCCCUGCUAUCUCCCUGAGGCAAGGGGUGUGUGGGAAUGUCUCUUUACUGUUUGGAGGCUCAAGCCUUUCUUGCUUAAGGGUGGGGCCACACAGGCUUUUGAGAUUUUUUUCCCCUUGUAGUGUUUGGCUGAAAUGGAGCAGUUAUUGUGCAGAUGUUUUCUGUCUAGAUAGAAAAAGCAGAUUUUUCUUGCAGGGUGGUUUUUUGUUUGUUUAUUUCGUUUUUCGUUUUUCUGUCUGUGCCUGCUCUUUCUUGGGUGCUGGCUUCUCCAAAACCAGUCUGGAAGGUUGGAGGAGUGUUUCUCAAUGAGUCUCCACCUUACUUAUUGAGACACAGUGUGUCACUGAACCUGGAGCUCACUGACUCAACUUGACUGGGUAGCCAACAAACCCUAGGGACCCUGCUAUCCCUCAGCUUCUCCAGGAUUGUGAUUCCAUGCAUGUAUCACCGUGCCCAGGACGUUCUGACAAAUGCUCUAACAUUAAGCCAAGUGAAAUCAGCCAGUGACAAAAAUACAAAUGUUCUGAUCACACUUAACUAAGGGCUCGGGUGUGGCGCAGUUGUAGAACACUUGACUCCAUAAAGCCAUGGAUUCCAUUGUCAGCAGUGCAAAAAGAAAUAAAUGAACUUAUAUUUAUCAAAUUUGUUAAGCAUUUCUGGCUUGUUCAUUUGUAUAUGUUCAGACUGUCAUCUGCUAUCAAUUUUCUUCUACCUGAAAGAAACAUGAACAUUUCUUGAACUGUCAAUUGCGCUGAGCCGUCUCUCCAGCCCCUCCCCCCUUUUCCAUUCUUUGGAGAUCAGACUCUCAUAAUAUCCCAGGCUGACCUUGAAGUUGCUAGCUAGCAAUUACGGAUGCCUUUGAAUUUCUGAUAUUUGCUCUCCUGCUCGAGUGCUGAGAUUAUGGCGUGUAUCACCAGAUUUAUGUGGUGCUUCAGAUAUGGCCAAGGGCCUGUGCAUGCUAGGUAAACCCUCUAUCGACUAAGCCGUAGACCUAUACCUGACUCCCAUUUAUUUUUGCAUUUACAUUUUGGUAGUUUAUAUAGCUAUAUCUUCAAGUCCACAUUGUUCUCCAAGAGGAUGAAUGACACCUAUAAACAAAACGAACAAACAAACAAAACAAAACCCUUAUAGCAUCAGAGUUAACAGAGAAGUAUCGGACAUUUUCUCCUUAAAGUAGAAGUCAGGCAAUAAUGUUCAUUCUCUCCGCUUCUCUUCAAAGCGUGCACAUCAGAAACUGGUUCUGUUUGCACAUGACAUGACUAUUUCUUUAGAAAACCUUUAGGAAUACAUUAAAGUCACAGAAGCCAGAGUUCAUGUUUCUAAAACUCAGUUUUACUUUGACAUGCUACCAAAAAACAAUUGAAAACAUACAAUUUAAAAAAUGACAUUCCAUGUGUAACCUCAUCAAAACCAUUAAAAUGAUUCAAUAAAGCUAACAUGUAUAAACAAAACGUCAAAGUAACAAAACAUGUUCUAGAGAAAGGAAAGGGAAAUGAAGUAUACAAUGAGAUAGGCCAAACCCACAAAUCAAAAGGCCUGGAAGUGUUGGCAUGUCAGUCUGCCCUAAAUCGAUCUCCAGAUUCAAGGUAAUCCAUACCCAGAUAUCCACAGUUGUUUGGGUAAAUACUGAAAAUCUAGUUCUAAAGUUUAUAUGGCGGGG